rnacentral:rRNA from 1 species
UACGGAGGGUGCGAGCGUUGUCCGGAAUCACUGGGCGUAAAGGGCGCGUAGGCGGUUCGUUAAGUUGCUGGUGAAAUCCCGGGGCUCAACUCCGGGGCUGCCGGCAAGACUGGCGGGCUAGAGCACGGUAGAGGCGGAUGGAAUUCCCGGUGUAGCGGUGGAAUGCGUAGAUAUCGGGAGGAACAUCCGUGGCGAAGGCGGCACCCUGGACCAGCACUGACACUGAGGCACGAAAGCGUGGGGAGCAAACAGG